UGAUCAAUUGUGAUCGAGAAUUAUUUUUUGAUUAUUAUUGUUAGGACUAGGAAAGGGCAAACAUGCCUUUUGGUGUUUCUGCAACACAGUAUUUAACAACGAUAGUGAUAUUUACAAUGACUGGGAUAGCUGGUUCAACUGUUGUCUUCCAUAGGUACAAGCCCCUUGAAGGCAUUGAGGAACAAGUUGAAGAAGAAAAAGAAAAAAUCAGAGAAGAGUUCAUGAAAUAUUGUGAAAGAAAGAUAGGAGAAAAAAAAAAGGAAAUAUCUAAUUCAUAAGCAGAAUACACAAAACAAUUAAAUGUAAAUAAUAUGCUUGGGUUAUUGAGAAAUUGUCUGUUAAAUACUUUUUCAUUUUGAGAAUUAAAAUUUAUAUAUGAAGCUGA